GGCUCAAUGGUCUAGUCGUAUGAUUCCUGCUUUGGGCAACAUGACUAAUUGCAGGAGGCCCCGGGUUCAAAUCCCGGUUGAGCCC